rnacentral:rRNA from 1 species
CUAAGAAUCUUCCGCAAUGGGCGAAAGCCUGACGGAGCGACGCCGCGUGAACGAUGAAGGCCGAAAGGUUGUAAAGUUCUUUUCUUAGGGAGGAAUAAUGUUAAGAGUGGAACGCUUAACAGAUGACGUUAACUAAGGAAUAAGCCCCGGCCAAUUACGUGCCAGCAGCCGCGGUAAUACGUAUGGGGCGAGCGUUGUUCGGAAUUAUUGGGCGUAAAGGGCGUGUAGGUGGUUUUGUAAGCCUGGUGUGAAAGGCUCUGGCUUAACCAGAGAAACGCGCUGGGAACUGCAAGACUAGAGUUCAGGAGAGGAAGCUGGAAUUCCUGGUGUAGGGGUGAAAUCUGCAGAUAUCAGGAAGAACACCGAUGGCGAAGGCAAGCUUCUAGCCAUGGACUGACACUGAGGCGCGAAAGCGUGGGGAGCGAACAGGAUUAGAUACCCUGGUAGUCCACGCUGUAAACGAUGUGCACUAGGUGUAGGACUCCUUUAUAUACUUUUAAAAAAGAAGAGAGUAUAUAGAGGAGUCCUGUGCCGUAGCUAACGCGUUAAGUGCACCGCCUGGGGAGUAUGCUCGCAAGGGUG